CUCCUACGGGGGGCAGCAGUAGGGAAUCUUCCACAAUGGACGAAAGUCUGAUGGAGCAACGCCGCGUGAGUGAAGAAGGGUUUCGGCUCGUAAAGCUCUGUUGGUAGUGAAGAAAGAUAGAGGUAGUAACUGGCCUUUAUUUGACGGUAAUUACUUAGAAAGUCACGGCUAACUACGUGCCAGCAGCCGCGGUAAUACGUAGGUGGCAAGCGUUAUCCGGAUUUAUUGGGCGUAAAGCGAGCGCAGGCGGGUUGUUAGGGCUGUUGUGAAAGCCUUCGGCUUAAACGCAGAAGUGCAUCGGAAAC
rnacentral:rRNA from 1 species